UCUGAGGAGAGGGACCAGGAAAGAGAGAGAGGAGAGGAGAGGGAAUCAGUUUGAAGGUCAGAGGGAGGAUUCUGUAUCACAGAUUUGAUGAAAAAAAAAUGACACUAUUUUAUAAUGGUUAUCUAACUAUAUUUGUAGGUUCCAAAACAAACCCUUUCAAGUGAACUGAACGGUGCGUGCCAUUGUAAAAUUGUAUCCAGAUCUUUCGGCUGAUGCGAUUGGAAUUCCACUCUUUAAUCAUUAUUUGAAUUGAUGUCGCUUUAUACAUACAGCAUACUAUUCACAUACUAUUCAUGUCACUAGAACUCACAAAGGUACAGCCAAGCAGAAACGUUGACACUAAAAAUCCCUGGAUUUGCCACUUUCUACUAGCCAUCUCAGUACCACAGUCAACAGUGUGUGUCUAGUCCGCCUAGCCGUUUACUCGACUGACUGACUCACACUGCCUCACCAUCCCGAUCAAGCUCUCUGGUUCGUUGUUUAUCGGAGCAUACUGCAGGUUUCACGCACACGCAAUUAUUGUUAACGAUCGAAGGCAAUAAGGACUGUGGUUCGACGCCAGGGUCUGGGAAUGCUAGGGUAUAUGUCUGACUGGAGCCAGCUUGGACAUGUUACCUGGGGGAAGAAAUGGUGGAGCCUGGAGCAUGAGUCAUGAAAAUGGAAGGAGAAAAAUGUGUUGCAUUGAGUGUGUUUUUGUUAUGAAUUCGUGUUUCGGCUUGCGUUUCCUCGACGUUGCACAAAAGUGUGUAUGUACGUGCAUGUGUGAGUGUGUGUGUGUAUGUGUGUAUGUGCGGGGGUGUGUGUGUUUGCGUGCCAUGGCAGCAUCUUCUAGGACAUCCCGAAUUUAAAUCAGUCCAUUUCAACACACUUAAGGGCGCUGCACACACGCAUACACCAAACAAGGCAUUAUGAAAGGAAGCUCGCUACCCCCCUAAUCCUGCAACCAGUCACACCCCUGUUCCAUUCAUAAACCUCGCAUGACCUCAAAUUUGUACGCUAAGAGAAUAGAAUCUUCAAGGAAACAAAGGCCCUUUAUUGUGGGAUUGUAAAACAUCUAACAUCUGUGAGCCAGUGAUGUCCUUUACAGUCUGGUUGACAUCGGAGCCAGAGACCACUGGCUGUAAAGGGAGGCCAUGUGAUUACAGCCUACGGCCGGCCUCUUCAAGGCUCCGUCUUAACGGACCAAUAUAAAAGAUCUAGUGAAACAAAUGCGAAAUUACCAGAACAUUUUCGAAAUGUUGUUUAGCCGACCUCAACUCGUUUAAAACUAAAUAUAAGUCUAGGGAUUGUACUGCUGUUUUUACCUCAACCCCAUCGAGGUUAAACUGGUGACCAAAGAUAAAUAAUAAAAUGACUAAGCAGUGAUUCGUUUCGUCACUUUUAUAUCCGUCUUUCGUCUGUCACAAAAAAUACUGAGCAGACUGUUUAUUUAAUCUCUUAGACUGCCAUGGCAGAAUUUAACAAGACGUAUAGCAAACCAUAUCAAACCUAACUGCAACCGCAUGUGUCUGUUUCGACAGUUUUUGUGUCUAUCCAGAUGUAUGCACAUUGGCGUGUCACAUGCUAGUCUUUUGCCUCAGAUAAUCAUAAUGUGAACACUCUCUUUUAGUUGUCUUCUUAACCAAAUACACCUGCACUACAAAAUCCACCGUUCUCCUGAGAAGAAUACUUAACAUUUACCAACUGUCACACCACCGAUUCCUUUUGAUGAUAAAAACAUUUUCCUUCUCUGUCUGUUUUUAUUAGUACUAGGAGAAACAUGGAGUCCAAGUAGGAUAAAAAGCCAUCUUUUACUUAAAAUAUUUUUUGUUAUAUAAGCUGUGACAGAUGAGUGGGUCUUUCCACUUAUGUAUGUGUGUGUGUCUGUGUGUGUGCGUAUGCGGGCGUGUGUGUGUAUUCGUUUGUGUGUGUGUCUGUCUGUCUAGUGUGUGUGUGUGUGUGUGUGUGUGUGUGUGUGUAGCACACAUCACGUCAGCCCACUGCUCCAUAUUCACCACAAAUUGAGUUAGUGGAAUUACCAAGAAUUCCUUCUUUAGAA